rnacentral:rRNA from 1 species
AGUAACGGCGAGUGAACAGGGAGAAGCCCAAAUUUGUAAUCUGGCACUUUUUACAGGUGUCCGAGUUGUAAUUUGUAGAACUGCUAUCCGUACUGGACCAUGUACAAGUCUGUUGAAAAGCAGCAUCAUUGAAGGUGAAAAUCCUGUAGAUGAUAUGGACUACCAGUAUAUUUGUGAUGCGGUUUCUAAGAGUCGAGUUGUUUGGGAAUGCAGCUCAAAGUGGGUGGUAAAUUCCAUCUAAGGCUAAAUAUGAGUGAGAGACCGAUAGCAUACAAGUACCGUGAGGGAAAGAUGAAAAGAACUUUGAAAAUAGAGUUAACAGUACGUGAAAUUGCUGAAAGGGAAACGUUUGAAGUUAGUUUUGUAUUCGUUGGAUCAGCUUCGCAAGGAGUGUAUUCCGAUGAUAGGCAAGUCAACAUCAAUCUAUGAGUGUUGGAUAAGGGUUUUGAGAACGUAGCAAUUCAGUUGUGUUAUAGCUCGAGACUUGGAUACGAUGCUUUGGAUUGAGGAACGCGUAGUAAGCUUUGAGCGGAUUCGAAAGGAUCUCCUUACUAUGGAUGUUGGUGAAAUAACUUUAAGCGACCCGUCUU